CUUAGUAGUUUGGAGUGGACCAGGUCUGCCGCAAGGGCCACAUGGCGGUCACCUGCGGCCAACAGUGCUGACGUCCCCAGCCCUGUUUCUCCAUGCCUCUCCAUUCCCUUUGGGGAGGCAGGGUUUAUGAAGAGACCUGAGAUUCUUAGCCACUUGUUCGGGGCAGGAAACCCUUCGCCUUGCAAGGGACAGUAAUGAUGACGUUCUGGCUGUCACUCUGCCUCCUCCAGAGGGAACAGCACAGCCCCCACCAAGACAGGGGUUCUCUCUAAAGCGGACUGCCUCUCUCUCUCUCUCCUCCCUCCUCCACCUGCUGGGGCAGGACUCCUGGGAUGGAGAGCAGUGAUUUAGGAGGCUGGGGGAGGGGAGUGAAUGAAACAGCCCAAGAUUGAUCUUGGAGAGCCUGCUGCCCUCUCUUCUCCCCGAAAUGCCCACCACCAGGGCUAUUUUAGUUAGAGACAGGUGUGCAGUUUAUACACAAUAAAUCUCCCCAUGUUCCUCAAAAAAAAAAAAAUGCCAUUUUUUUUAGAACUCCUGGAGAAUUCAUUUCACGUCUCUUUGUUCCACAGUAACCAUGCUCCUAAACUACUCAGAAUCCUUGGCAGGGCCAUGCCAGUCCCCCUUGAGAGCAGCUGAGAGCACUUCCUGGAAGACAGAUUGGACAGCGACCUCUGUAGGCACACCGGAGAGAGCACUGGGCUUCCUGGGACUGCAUCUGGGAAGGGGACCUUGUGCAGCUGCCCUCAUCUGUACCCCAGAGCAUGAAUAUUUCUAUUAAACCUAAAAUGAAAUAUGAAGCCAUUUAGACUCUGCCUGCACCAAUCACCCAGAUUUAUGACUUUUAUUCAUCACAUCAAGAGCUUGGAAAAAUGAAUUUUCUUCACCCAGGAAGGAAAUAAAACCUCAGGCUUGGUCAUUUCCAGAAAGCUGUUAAUUUGACCGUGUGGUAAUUACUUUCACAAUUAACUAAAAUACAAAUCAACUUGACAAAUUGGGCUAGUUUAUAUAUUAAUUAGCCCGCUUAAAUUUAUUCAUUAUGAAAAGACAAUUUAAGGGGACCUGUGGUGUCUGUUUUAUUGCAAUAAAUUAUUGUUAGGAAAUGGGUCUAAUAAAAUAUCUUAAUAUUUAAGGAUACUGUAUACGCGAGGGGGGAUGCUUUAUUGACAAUUUCAUUUUCCAAUUAGUAAUUUUGUUGUAAUAUAUCCGAGCCCAGGCCUCGCAAGCGGGCAGGCCGGGUUCCCCCAGCCGUGGGCAACAGCCAGUGUCUGGGCCUGGCCAUGGGCAGAGGACGGAGUCAGUUCAGCGGGAAGAGCCGGUGUCGGAUCGGGUGGCGGCUGGAGCGUCCAAGGACGCACGGAACCUGGGCCGAGAUGCUGCGCUCGCCAGGGCCCCCUCCUCCGCCCGGGGCCCCGGGGCUGAUUUAAUAGAAUGUCGAUAGAAUCAUUCGAUGCCUUUUAGCUUGUGAUCUUUAUAAAUGUCCCUCUAUUAAAUUAGAAAAUGAUUCUCUUCUCGUUUAAUUGUAUUCUUUCGUUUCUUAUUUCCAAUUAAUUAGUCCUAUCGACGUUGCAAUAUUUUAAGUGACUCGAGUCCGUUUCCAGUUAGAAUAUAUGGGUCAGCACAG
rnacentral:lncRNA from 1 species